rnacentral:rRNA from 1 species
CCUACGGGAGGCAGCAGUGGGGGAUAUUGCACAAUGGGGGGAACCCUGACCCAGCGACGCCGCGUGAGUGAAGAAGGGCCUCGGCGCGUAAAGCCCUGUCAGCAGGGACGAAAAUGACGGUACCUGAAAAAGAAGCACCGGCUAACUACGUACCAGGAGCCGCGGUAAUACGUAGGGGGCGAGCGUUGUCCGGAUUUACUGGGUGUAAAGGGGGCGCAGACGGCGAUGUAAGACAGGAGUGAAAGCCCGGGGCCCAACCCCGGGACUGCUCUUGGGACUGGGUGGCUGGAGUGCAGGAGGGGCAGGCGGAAUUCCUGGUGUAGCGGUGAAAUGCGUAGAUAUCAGGAGGAACACCGGUGGCGAAGGCGGCCUGCUGGACUGCAACUGACGCUGAGGCUCGAAAGCGUGGGGAGCAAACAGGAUUAGAUACCCUUGUAGUC